rnacentral:rRNA from 1 species
UGGGGAAUUUUGGACAAUGGGGGAAACCCCUGAUCCAGCCAUCCCGCGUGUGCGAUGAAGGCCUUCGGGUUGUAAAGCACUUUUGGCAGGAAAGAAACGUCGCGGGUUAAUACCCCGCGAAACUGACGGUACCUGCAGAAUAAGCACCGGCUAACUACGUGCCAGCAGCCGCGGUAAUACGUAGGGUGCAAGCGUUAAUCGGAAUUACUGGGCGUAAAGCGUGCGCAGGCGGUUCGGAAAGAAAGAUGUGAAAUCCCAGAGCUUAACUUUGGAACUGCAUUUUUAACUACCGGGCUAGAGUGUGUCAGAGGGAGGUGGAAUUCCGCGUGUAGCAGUGAAAUGCGUAGAUAUGCGGAGGAACACCGAUGGCGAAGGCAGCCUCCUGGGAUAACACUGACGCUCAUGCACGAAAGCGUGGGGAGCAAACAGGAUUAGAUACCCUGGUAGUCCACGCCCUAAACGAUGUCAACUAGCUGUUGGGGCCUUCGGGCCUUGGUAGCGCAGCUAACGCGUGAAGUUGACCGCCUGGGGAGUACGGUCGCAAGAUUAAAACUUAAAUGAAUUGACGGGGGUCAUAGCUGUUUCCCU